UAUGAUGGGGUUUUAAUGGCAGAAAUACAUUUCCAUCUACUAGCCGCUGGGUCCUAAUGUGGGAUCAAAUUGGUGGCAAUGAAGAGGUGACCAAAGAAAAAAUGACAAGGCAUUCUCGGUGUUAAGUACGCAGCAGCACAUUUGUUCUGAGGUUUAUUUUUUUAGUAUAAUACUGAUAAAAUGUAGAACAGCACAGUAUUUCAUAAGUUAUUUCAGGGAGAAAUUUGAAUAUUUUGUGAUAAUACUGUAUAAAUAAAAAAUGUAGAUACGGCAAUUAUACAAAAUACCAUCAGUAAAAAAGAACAUAAAAAACAGGGUCUGUAAUAUUUUCUGUCUUUGCAUAUCAUGGGGCAAUUAAAAUCAGAAAAUUUUUCCAGACAGUAUCAAUAUGACGUUGCAAAAUUGACGGUUAUAGCUAGAUAUUUAACUUGGCAACCCAUGCAACUGUGUUAUAAACAAGGAAAUCACUUUUGCAUUGCAAUGUUCUGAUUUUAACUCAAUAUAAUGAAGAAUACUGUUAUAUAUAGAGUAGGUUAGCACUGUCAGUACAAUUCAUUGCCAAUUGUCAUGUAAGCAAAAAGGGUGAAACACUAAAGAAAUCUUCAGAUACUAGCAUCAGAUGUUUCCUCAUAUAAACAAAUGUAAUUUGACUGAAAAAUACCAAAUACACUAUGCAAAAAUAGCCUGCAGCAGUGGUACCAUGCUAUAGAACACUUUUGUCUAAAUACGGUUCCAUUGCUUUUACAUUGGUUCAGAUGUU